rnacentral:lncRNA from 1 species
AUGUGUGAGAGGCUGUAUAUGUGUCCUGAGAUGUGUGAGGUGUUGUGUGUGUGUCCUGAGGUGUGUGAGGGUUGUGUGUGUCCUGAGGUGUGUGAGGUGUUGUGAGUCCUGAGGUAUGUGAGGGGUUGUGUGUGUGUCCUGAGGUGUGUGAGGGUUGUGUGUAUUCUGAGGUGCAUGAGGGGUUGUGUGUGUCCUGAGGUGUGUGAGAUGUUGUGUGUGUGUCCUGAGGUGUGUGAGAGUGAAAGUUGUGUGUGUCCUGAGGUGUGUGAGGGUUGUGUGUGUGUGUCCUGAGGUGUGUGAGGUGUUAAGUUGUGUGUGUCCUGAGGUGUGUGAGGUGUUAAGUUGUGUGUGUCCUGAGGUGUGUGAGGGUUGUGUGUGUGUCCUGAGGUGUGUGAGGGUUGUGUGUCCUGAGGUGUGAGAGGGUUGUGUGUGUGUCCUGAGGUGUGUGAGGGGUUAUGUGUGUCCUGAGGUGUGUGAGGGUUGUGUGUGUGUCCUGAAGUGUGUGAGGUGUUGUGUGUGUGUCCUGAGGCGUGUGAGGGUUGUGCGUUUCUUGAGGUAUGUGAGGGUUGUGUGUGUCC